rnacentral:rRNA from 1 species
UACAGAGGUGUCAAACGUUGUCCGGAAUUACUGGGCGUAAAGGGCGCGUAGGCGGUCCUAUAAGUCAGAUGUGAAAGCUCCGGGGCUCAACCCGGGAGUUAGCAUCUGAUACUGUAGGACUUGAGUUCGGUAGAGGAGGGCGGAAUUCCAGGUGUAGCGGUGAAAUAGCGUAGAUAUCUGGAGGAACACCCGUGGCGAAGGCGGCUCUCUGGUCCGAAACUGACGCUGAGGUGCGAAAGCUAGGGUAGCAAACAGGAUUAGAAACCCCGU